rnacentral:rRNA from 1 species
GGGCGGGGGCGCGCGAGGAUGAGCCGGCACGACUACCGAUGGGCGGACGUACCCCUACUCCCCGGGGCGGGCUUCUCCGGCAACCUCGCGGGACUCAGGAGAGCGGGAGGCGCGCCGGGAGGGUACGGCCGAUCCCUGCCGCGGGCUGCCCCCCGGCUGUUGGCGGCCGAGCGACUGGCCCUACUGACCCGGCGAGGGGCGUCUCGAACCCGUCGGCGAGGGAUGGCCGGCGGGGGGCGAGCACUCCCGUGGGAACUGCCGGCGGCGCUGCGCGCUGAGGGAGACGGACCAAGGGUCCCCCGCGCUGCGGCCCUCCUCCGACCCGCCGACGCACUUCUGUUGGUCGCUGCGCUUCUACUUGAGGUGAGGCUCGAUGUCGCGGCUGGACACAUGAGGCGGGGAUCGGCUGGACCAGGCCUCCACCCGGUCUCGAGCGCGGUUCCGCGGGCCUCAAGGCGUCCAAGCCUACUGGCACGAGCCAUACCCAGGCUCCUCAGCCUGUCACGCCUGAGCGAGUUAGCCGUAUCCAGGAGCAGGACCAGCGUGCCAUGUGGGGGGCAACGUGGAGCCUCCUCCGAGGCCCAGGUCAACCCGGCAGCUGCUUCGCCUUCUUCUUCGUGAGCCCACCCGAGUUACCAGGAUGGUAGUACCUACCUAGCCCCUCCAGCCGGCAGCCCCUCGGCCUCGUCCUCCGGGGCCACUAAGGGGGCCGGUCUCGGUCAGCGCGGGCCUGGGUACUGCUCUGCGACACGUAGUUGACACCCACACGGCCAGUGAAGGCAAGCCUCACGAACCGCGGGAGGGCCACGGGAUGGUGAGAACGGAUGGACCCCAUGCCCCACCUCCCCCCACCGAAGAUGAUACACGUGCGCUGGGACCUCCUGCUUGGGCAGGCCGGAGUACGACCUACGCGAAGACCUAAGCUGUGCAGAAAAUAGCAGCAGCAUCCUGGCGGACUGCUGACCGUGGUCCACCAAAAAAAGGAAUAAAGAGAGAACCAAAAAACCCGUACUAACACGACAACGGAGUCGGCAGCAAGAACAAAGCCUGAUACCUACAACCAACAUACCUGGCAACGAAAUAAAUAUUUCGCCCCGCUUUUGGAUAAAGUACUCUAGUUGCCUGUACUAAGUUUGGAUUUGCCUGAUCUGUAGAAACCGGCUAAAUUUGGCUUUAGAUCAUGAUCUCAUCGUACAAGUCUGUCACAGUAACCGUUUAGUAAUUCUAUAUUAUUUCCCUUGUAUCGAAGGUUUAGAUGUGAUUGAUUUUAGGACAGGUUGAAGAGUUUCCACCCUAGGAGUACUGGUA